AAUACAGUUGGGGUGGGAUGAAAGGAAAAUUAGUCUUUAAGGAUUUGAAUCUUCCAAAAAUAAUUAUGCAAGCAGUUCGAUUACAUACGCAGUAUAGCCACAUUACGGAUGCCGAAUUUGCAGAUUCCAUCUCCAAAUGGCUUGCGCAAGCACCUCUGAGGAUUCAAAGACAAUU